rnacentral:miRNA from 1 species
UGGAAUGUUGUGAAUAUUCUC